AAUUCGCCCUUAGAGUUUGAUCAUGGCUCAGCGCGAACGCUGUCGGCGUGCCUAACACAUGCAAGUCGUGGGGCAGCAGGCCGGUUCCUUCGGGAACUGGUGCUGGCGACCGGCGAACGGGUGAGUAACGCGUGAGCAACCUACCCCGAGGAGGGGGAUAACCCGGGGAAACCCGGGCUAAUACCCCAUAAGCGCACGGCUCGCAUGAGCUGUGUGCAAAGGGUGGCCUCUGCAUAGCAAGCUGCCGCCUCGGGAUGGGCUCGCGUCCCAUCAGGUAGUUGGUGGGGUAACGGCCUACCAAGCCUACGACGGGUAGCUGGUCUGAGAGGAUGGCCAGCCACACCGGGACUGAGACACGGCCCGGACUCCUACGGGAGGCAGCAGUGGGGAAUCUUGGGCAAUGGGCGCAAGCCUGACCCAGCGACGCCGAGUGGAGGAAGAAGCCCUUCGGGGUGUAAACUCCUGUCGCCGGGGACGAGGCGGGUCGGGGUGAAUAGCCCCGGCCCGUGA
rnacentral:rRNA from 1 species